AGCAAUAGAGACUCUUUUGGGGGUGCGAAAUUUUCUGAGGAUGCUACAAGUGUUGGAAUCAAGGCUAUUUCUUCCUGCAUUGUAUCAAAUUUAUUUUUCUCUGCACCCCAUCAUUAUAGAUUUUAUUUUCCCAAACAGACUAACUCAAUUUUGAAAACAUUUUUCCAGAAGGUACUCACCACUUGUCCGAAAAACACUCUCACCCACUCCUAUUCCGAAAGCUAUGAUAGGGUGCGGGAACAAAGUUGAUAGGGUGUAGGAAGCAACAACCUAUGUCAUAAGAAUUGGGCUAAAAGAGAAUAUCAAGAAGGAGAACAAUCCAAAUAUGGGGGGUUACUCCCUGUACCUCCCCAAUUCCAACUCCCACCCCCAUUCCAUUUUUAUCCUUUGCUCUAUUUUUUCUUUUCCAAUUUUAUCCUUUAGCAAAAAUUUAUAUUUAGAAAUAAAAUUUUAUAAUUUUAUUCUUCCACCCCCAC
rnacentral:lncRNA from 1 species